AGUCCAUGGUGUGGACAAAGUCUCAUCAUGUCCUUGUAUCUCUCCCAAACUUCGAAAAAAGAUUCACUGUCUUUUUGCAAAAAUCAGUUGAUUUGGGCUCUUAGCAU